AAAAGUUUGACAUAUUAACUGAAUUAAACCAAAUCUAGAAACACACAUAUGUACCUCUGCAAAGAGAAGACAGAUGAACUGUAACUAAAAAGGACUCAAAGGACCACUUCAACAAAACAUGAAACCCAUCCCUUAUUCCAGAGCAACAAUGUCAUAUCCCUUGAUUUAUUUUAGUUGGUGAUAAUGUAUUUACAUUCUAAUCCAUAGUUUUCAGAGCCUUCUUCAACUAAGCCUUCUCCCCAUAAAGAAGUUCCAUCACUACUCGCUUCACACUACCAUUGUUCUUCAUCAGAAGUCUUUUGUUCAUUUCCUUGUCAUUGAAUCCCAUUUCCUUCAACUCAUGAAGCAUCGGAUCCCAUUCAUCAACUCUGCAGAGAUCAUCCACCGACUGCCCUAGAUCGUACUUAUUCCUCUUCAGUACUUCCUUGUUUAGAUCAACCUGUUUGAAUCCCAUAUCCUCGAGUGUUUUAAGAAGAGUUUCUUCAAUAAUGUUAUUGGCAUUAUUGGCAGUGACAUCUUCAGAUGAUGCUGGCGAAACCUUGGGGGAUGGUGUUGGAGGCGGGUUUGCAGGUGGAGUUGGUACAGGAAAAUCAAAAGGAGAAUAUGGCUCUGGGGGAACCUUGGUUGAACUAGGUAGAACUCCAUGGCGAUCAGCAGCAGAGCUAGACGAGCCCAAAUUAUCCUCCUUAGCAAAAGUAGUAGGGCUUUCGCCAACUAGAAUAUCCUGAUCUACGAGGAAUUGUAAAUCCGGAUCAGUUGCAGACAGAUUAUGAUCAAGCUUUGGCAGUUCAUUGAUGGGGAUGGAAUCGCGAGGAGGAAAAAGGACACCAUCAGAAAUUGCAGGAGUUGAAUUCUUUUGUACACCUUCAUGGGCACGAUCUAUGAGGGGGGGUAAAUUUAAGUCCAAAGCUUGGGAAUAAUUGGAAUCCGGCAUCCCAAGUGCUUCAUCAACCUGAAUAAGAACCCAAACACGUUGCCCAAAUAUCUGGCCAGAUGGAGAUGCCAUCCUCCAGUAUGAGGUGUAUUGACCAGAACGUGGAGGGGUAGUAAAGUCAACUGCAACUUCAAUUUCCUGACCCAGAGGAAGUCCAUCAGCAGGAACCUCUAUUUCAACCGGUACUGAACAACCCAACUUGUCUCCUCCAAUCCACACUAGCUGUGUACCACGGGGCCAAUUCGAAGUCCCACUAUUACGCAAUCGCCAUAUCUUGGUAAAUGGGAUACAUGGAGCCAUCACAGUGCCAUCAAAUACAUUAACGUCAGCUACGAAGCAACUAUCAAGCUUGGUCUGCUUUACAGGACCUCUCAAAGCAUCGAUUAUUUGGGGGCCAGGAAAUGGAUAUCUACGGUUGAAUCCUUUCAUUCUUGGAUUCCGGCAAGAGACAGGACGAUCGAUCCUAAUAUAGUCAGCCUCAUUGCCCAUUUUAGCAAAGCAGAUGCUACAGAGAUCAUAAUUAUCUUUCACUUGGGACUUGAACCGCGGACCAGUUAUUGGACGGGCUCCACAUCCAUCACAAAUAACACCUUUAUGGAACAUACUUCCCACAGUUCCAAAGCAACCUCUGCUGCUAAUUAUUGGAUCUUCAUGGAAUGCUUCAAUAUAGCCACUGCUGCUGGCUAUUGGACCUUUAUGGAACAUACUUCCCACAGUUCCAAAGCAACCUCUGCUGCUAAUUAUUGGAUCUUCAUGGAAUGCUUCAAUAUAGCCACUGCUGCUGGCUAUUGG
rnacentral:misc_RNA from 1 species